AGGGAAUCUUCCGCAAUGGGCGAAAGCCUGACGGAGCAACGCCGCGUGAGUGAUGAAGGUCUUCGGAUCGUAAAACUCUGUUAUUAGGGAAGAACAAAUGUGUAAGUAACUAUGCACGUCUUGACGGUACCUAAUCAGAAAGCCACGGCUAACUACGUGCCAGCAGCCGCGGUAAUACGUAGGUGGCAAGCGUUAUCCGGAAUUAUUGGGCGUAAAGCGCGCGUAGGCGGUUUUUUAAGUCUGAUGUGAAAGCCCACGGCCCAACCGUGGAGGGUCAUUGGAAACUGGAAAACUUGAGUGCAGAAGAGGAAAGUGGAAUUCCAUGUGUAGCGGUGAAAUGCGCAGAGAUAUGGAGGAACACCAGUGGCGAAGGCGACUUUCUGGUCUGUAACUGACGCUGAUGUGCGAAAGCGUGGGGAUCAAACAGGAUUAGAUACCCUGGUAGUCCACGCCGUAAACGAUGAGUGCUAAGUGUUAGGGGGUUUCCGCCCCUUAGUGCUGCAGCUAACGCAUUAAGCACUCCGCCUGGGGAGUACGACCGCAAGGUUG
rnacentral:rRNA from 1 species